CCUACGGGUGGCAGCAGUGAGGAAUAUUGGUCAAUGGACGAGAGUCUGAACCAGCCAAGUAGCGUGAAGGAUGACUGCCCUCUGGGUUGUAAACUUCUUUUAUAUGGGAAUAAAAUGUUCCACGUGUGGGACUUUGUAUGUUACAUAUGAAUAAGGAACGGCUAACUCCGUGCCAGCAGCCGCGGUAAAACGGGGUAUCCGAGCGUUAUCCGGGUUUAUUGGGUGUUAAGGGAGCGUAGGUGGAUUGUUAAGUCAGUUGUGAAAGUUUGCCGCUCAACCGUAAAAUGGCAGGUGAAACUGGCAGUCUUGAGUAGAGUAGAGGUGGGAGGAAUUGGUGGUGUAGCGGUGAAAUGCGUAGAUAUCACGAAGAACGCCGAUUGCGAAGGCAGAUCACUGGCCUGCAACUGACACUGAGGAUCGAAAGUGUGGGGAACAAACAGGAUUAGCUAACCAGUC
rnacentral:rRNA from 1 species